rnacentral:ncRNA from 1 species
UGUUGAUAGAGGCGCGGCUUCGCAUGAGUAGCCUCCGGCAUCGGGCAGGUACCCGCCGGAGAGGAAAGGGCGGGCCGCCGAAGGGCCGUAGCUUUGCCUGAAGAGCGGUUGCCUGGGCCGGCGGAGAACAUCCGCCGGACUGCCACACCUGUGGAGCGCUAUCA